UGCUCUCUAACUCCUGGGGAGCGAGAAGACCCGGGUAGACCAGUUGCGGAUAACUGAACCUGGGAGUUGGGUGUACACAGAGGAAGUCUCCCCACCUUGGGGCUCCCACCUUGCUGAAGGACCACAGUCUGGCCCAAGCAGAGACCCUGGAGCCAGAGGGAAUGGCCCCCAGGGACCAAGAGGCCUUCCCAGGUGUACAAAGAGGAAGUCUCCCCACCCUGGGGCUCCCACCCCCUGAAGGAACACUGUCGGACCCAAGCAGACACCCUGGAGUUAGAAGGAAUGGCUCCCAGGACCCAGAGGCC